AUUGUAACACCUGAACCUGUAUGAUCACCAAAGUUAAGCAACAUUGAGUUUGGUCAGUACCUAGAUGAGUGACCCCUUGGGAAUACCCAAUACUGUAA